AGUGGGGAAUACCGUUGGGAAACCGACGACAAUACCGCAUAAUCUCGAGAGAGGAAAGCAGCAAUGCGCUGGAGGAGGAGUCCGCGGCUGAUUAGCUUGGUGAGGUAAUGGCUCACCAAGGCUCAGAUCAGUAGCCGGCCUGAGAGGGCACACGGCCACACUGGCACUGAAACACGGGCCAGACUCCUACGGGAGGCAGCAGUGGGGAAUCUUGCACAAUGGGGGAAACCCUGAUGCAGCGACGCCGCGUGAGCGAUGAAGCCCUUCGGGGUGUAAAGCUCUUUCGGCAGGGAAGAUUAUGACGGUACCUGCAGAAGCAGCUGCGGCUAACUACGUGCCAGCAGCCGCGGUAAUACGUAGGCAGCAAGCGUUGUUCGGAGUUACUGGGCGUAAAGGGUGUGUAGGCGGUUGGAUAAGUGUGGUGUGAAAUCUCCCGGCUUAACUGGGACGGUGCGCUACAAACUGUCUGACUAGAGUAUGGGUUGGGAGAGUGGAAUUCCUGGUGUAGCGGUGAAAUGCGUAGAUAUCAGGAGGAACACCGGUGGUGUAGACGGCUCUCUGGACCAUUACUGACGCUGAGACACGAAAGCGUGGGUAGCAAACAGGAUUAGAUACCCUGGUAGUCCACGCCCUAAACGAUGCAUAUUUGGUGUGGGCCAUUCAUUUGGUCCGUGCCGGAGCUAACGCGUUAAAUAUGCCGCCUGGGGAGUACAGUCGCAAG
rnacentral:rRNA from 1 species